UCAGCAAUUACUAUAUUUGCACCAAACUGUCAGAAGGAUGGCGAUGCAGAGAACCCAAAACAAGGAACAAAAGUAACUUCCGAGCAUCGAGGUAUGUAUGUUGAAGACCCAAAGGAAGAUGAGCUUCACCAACAAUGCCCACAAACUUCUAAGAGCAAACAGAUACUCCAGUGUCCUGAGAACUAUCAAACAUGCGUGAACUUUUGGAGCAUAAUUAAAACAUCAG